UAGGGAAUCUUCGGCAAUGGACGGAAGUCUGACCGAGCAACGCCGCGUGAGUGAAGAAGGUUUUCGGAUCGUAAAGCUCUGUUGUAAGAGAAGAACGAGUGUGAGAGUGGAAAGUUCACACUGUGACGGUAUCUUACCAGAAAGGGACGGCUAACUACGUGCCAGCAGCCGCGGUAAUACGUAGGUCCCGAGCGUUGUCCGGAUUUAUUGGGCGUAAAGCGAGCGCAGGCGGUUAGAUAUGGUCUGAAGUUAAAGGCUGUGGCUUAACCAUAGUAGGCUUUGGAAACUGUUUAACUUGAGUGCAAGAGGGGAGAGUGGAAUUCCAUGUGUAGCGGUGAAAUGCGUAGAUAUAUGGAGGAACACCGGUGGCGAAAGCGGCUCUCUGGCUUGUAACUGACGCUGAGGCUCGAAAGCGUGGGGAGCAAACAGGAUUAGAUACCCUGGUAGUCCACGCCGUAAACGAUGAGUGCUAGGUGUUAGACCCUUUCCGGGGUUUAGUGCCGUAGCUAACGCAUUAAGCACUCCGCCUGGGGAGUACGACCGCAAGGUUG
rnacentral:rRNA from 1 species